UACGUAGGGGGGCAAGCGUUGUCCGGAAUCAUUGGGCGUAAAGAGCGCGUAGGCGGCCCUGUAAGUCCGCUGUGAAAGUCAAGGGCUCAACCCUUGGAUGCCGGUGGAUACUGCAGGGCUAGAGUCCGGAAGAGGCGAGUGGAAUUCCUGGUGUAGCGGUGAAAUGCGCAGAUAUCAGGAGGAACACCGAUGGCGAAGGCAGCUCGCUGGGACGGUACUGACGCUGAGGCGCGAAAGCGUGGGGAGCAAACAGGG
rnacentral:rRNA from 1 species